CUUGUAGGCUGCCACGUACUGGAUGUGGCCAAAGUCCCGAGCCCCCUGGGUGAUGACGCCUGUCACCCGCUUUUGGGAACCCAGGUCGACCUGCAGGAGAGCCACGGGGCAGUCAGGUGGACAGGCAGAUGCACUGGGGCACAGUCAGGUGGACGGACAGACACACUGGGGCACAGUCAGGUGGACAGGCAGAUGCACUGGGGCACAGUCAGGUGGACGGACAGACACACUGGGGCACAGUCAGGUGGACAGGCAGAUGCACUGGGGCACAGUCAGUUGGACGGACAGACACGCUGGGGCACAGUCAGGUGGACAGGCAGACGCACUGGGGCACAGUCAGGUGGACGGACAGACGCAUUGGGGCACAGUCAGGUGGAUGGACAGACACGCUGGGGCACAGUCAGGUGGACAGGCAGACGCACUGGGGCACAGUCAGGUGGACGGACAGACACGCUGGGGCAUAGUCAGGUGGACAGACAGACGCACUGGGGCCUGCAGACACACCUGCCCCACACCCGACCAGCCUGGAGGACUGGUCAGCCAUGCCUGGAGGUGGUCCAAGCCCCAGGCUGCAAAGCUCACACAGCCUCCCAGCCAGCAAGCCCCAGGUUAGUGGUCACCUGCCAGGCUAGUGCUCACCUGUCCAAGAUAGUGGUCACCUGCCCAAGGUUGGCCCUCACCUGCCCCAGAUUAGCGCUCACCUGCCCAGGCUAGUCCUCACCUGCCCCAGGUUAGUCCUCACCUGCCAGGCUAGUGCUCACCUGUCACAGACUAGUGGUCGCCUGCCCAAGGUUAGUCCUCACGUGCCCCAGACUAGUGCUCACCUUCCCCAGACUAGUCCUCACCAGCCCCAGACCAGCACUCACCUGCCCCAGACUAGUCCUCACCUGCCCAGGCUAGUCCUCAUCUGCCCAGGCUAGUCCUCAUCUGCCAGGAUAGCUGCCCCAUCAGAAAGACUGUUCACCCAUUUCCACAAAGCCCAAGGCCUUCCCACAGCCCAUGUGGAGAGGUCCCCAGCGGCCUGGGUGGGUCUCCAGCUCCCUCCUGCUCUGCUGCCCGCAGGCAGAGCCUCAUCCACUGGGCCAGCCAACAGGGCCUUGCACACCCUUCCCCACCUGGAGAAGGCGGGAGAAAGGGAAAGGCUCAAGUACAAGAGCCACGGCUUUUCAGAAACUCUUCUGGGGAGCAGAAGUCCGGGCUGGGCAACAUCAAAGAUCUGGCUGACCUGGCCCUGCAGCCCGGUAGGGCCUGACCCACCU